rnacentral:lncRNA from 1 species
UUAGGCCCCACUCAAUCUAAUUAAGUGGGGAGGGUUGGGUCCAAGUGCUAGGAUUCAAUCCUAUUCAAAAUAGGAUUUGCACCCAUUUCAAUUUCCUCCAAAUCCUAAUCUAAUUAGGAUUUAAUUAAACCAUGACUCAAUUAAACUCUUUUAAUCUAAUUAGAAAUCUUUUAAUUAAUUAGAUUAAAAUUAAAAUUAAUUAGAACUUAAGAAAAUCCUAAUCUAAUUAGGACUUAUUAAAUUUCAGCCCUAAGGCAAUUAGGACUUUAGA